UAUGCUGGUGGCAAUACUGCUCUGUUAUUCUUUACUACACUGAGAUGUUUGGGUGGAGAGAAGCAUGAGUCUGGCCUAUGUGCACAUCCAGGCAUAGUACCUUCCCUUGAACUUAUUUGUGACACAGAUUCCUUUGCUCACAUGUUUUCUUGCCAACCUUCUCCCCGCUAUCACCCUGUUCUGCCACAUUCCCCUUGCUGAGAUAGUGAAAAUAAUAAUCAGUAAAUACUGAGGGAACUCAGAGACGGGGGCCGGUGCAGGUCCUCUGUAUGCUGAGCGCCAGUCUCCUGGGCCCCACUGUUCUUUCUCUAUACUUUGUCUCUGUGUCUUAUUUCUUUUUUUAGUCUCUCGUCCCACCUGACGAGAGAUACCCACAGGUGUGGAGGGGCAGGCCACCCCUUCAUCUGCCGCCAAUGUGGGUGCCUUUCUCUAAGGUGAAGGUACAUUAAGAACGUGAGCAUUGAGGACAGUCGACGAGAGAUUCCCGAGUACGUCCACCGUCAGCCUUGCGUUUCUACAGUUUAAACCGUGGUGGAUCGAUGGAGUACAAGAACAGUCCACAGGUGUAUCCACCAGCUCCGAAGAGACAGCGACCAGCAAGAACGGGCCAUAACGACGAUGGCAGUUUUGUCAAAAAGGGGGAUAUGUAGGGAAAAGAGAGAUCCGACUGUUACUGUGUCUACAUAGAAAAGGAAGACAUAAGAAACUCCAUUUUGAUCUGUACCCUGAACAAUUGUUUUGCCUUGAGAUGCUGUUAAUAUGUAACUUUAGCCCCAACCUUGUGCUCACGGAAAUAUGUGUUGUAUGGAAUCAAGGUUUAAGGGAUCUAGGGCUGUGCAGGAUGUGCCUUGUUAACAAAAUG
rnacentral:lncRNA from 1 species